rnacentral:rRNA from 1 species
GGGAGCGUUCUGUAAGCCUGUGAAGGUGUGCUGUGAGGCAUGCUGGAGGUAUCAGAAGUGCGAAUGCUGACAUAAGUAACGAUAAAGCGGGUGAAAAGCCCGCUCGCCGGAAGACCAAGGGUUCCUGUCCAACGUUAAUCGGGGCAGGGUGAGUCGACCCCUAAGGCGAGGCCGAAAGGCGUAGUCGAUGGGAAACAGGUUAAUAUUCCUGUACUUGGUGUUACUGCGAAGGGGGGACGGAGAAGGCUAUGUUGGCCGGGCGACGGUUGUCCCGGUUUAAGCGUGUAGGCUGGUUUUCCAGGCAAAUCCGGAAAACUAAGGCUGAGGCGUGAUGACGAGGCACUACGGUGCUGAAGCAACAAAUGCCCUGCUUCCAGGAAAAGCCUCUAAGCAUCAGGUAACAUCAAAUCGUACCCCAAACCGACACAGGUGGUCAGGUAGAGAAUACCAAGGCGCUUGAGAGAACUCGGGUGAAGGAACUAGGCAAAAUGGUGCCGUAACUUCGGGAGAAGGCACGCUGAUAUGUAGGUGAAGUCCCUCGCGGAUGGAGCUGAAAUCAGUCGAAGAUACCAGCUGGCUGCAACUGUUUAUUAAAAACACAGCACUGUGCAAACACGAAAGUGGACGUAUACGGUGUGACGCCUGCCCGGUGCCGGAAGGUUAAUUGAUGGGGUCAGCGCAAGCGAAGCUCUUGAUCGAAGCCCCGGUAAACGGCGGCCGUAACUAUAACGGUCCUAAGGUAGCGAAAUUCCUUGUCGGGUAAGUUCCGACCUGCACGAAUGGCGUAAUGAUGGCCAGGCUGUCUCCACCCGAGACUCAGUGAAAUUGAACUCGCUGUGAAGAUGCAGUGUACCCGCGGCAAGACGGAAAGACCCCGUGAACCUUUACUAUAGCUUGACACUGAACAUUGAGCCUUGAUGUGUAGGAUAGGUGGGAGGCUUUGAAGUGUGGACGCCAGUCUGCAUGGAGCCGACCUUGAAAUACCACCCUUUAAUGUUUGAUGUUCUAACGUUGACCCGUAAUCCGGGUUGCGGACAGUGUCUGGUGGGUAGUUUGACUGGGGCGGUCUCCUCCUAAAGAGUAACGGAGGAGCACGAAGGUUGGCUAAUCCUGGUCGGACAUCAGGAGGUUAGUGCAAUGGCAUAAGCCAGCUUGACUGCGAGCGUGACGGCGCGAGCAGGUGCGAAAGCAGGUCAUAGUGAUCCGGUGGUUCUGAAUGGAAGGGCCAUCGCUCAACGGAUAAAAGGUACUCCGGGGAUAACAGGCUGAUACCGCCCAAGAGUUCAUAUCGACGGCGGUGUUUGGCACCUCGAUGUCGGCUCAUCACAUCCUGGGGCUGAAGUAGGUCCCAAGGGUAUGGCUGUUCGCCAUUUAAAGUGGUACGCGAGCUGGGUUUAGAACGUCGUGAGACAGUUCGGUCCCUAUCUGCCGUGGGCGCUGGAGAACUGAGGGGGGCUGCUCCUAGUACGAGAGGACCGGAGUGGACGCAUCACUGGUGUUCGGGUUGUCAUGCCAAUGGCACUGCCCGGUAGCUAAAUGCGGAAGAGAUAAGUGCUGAAAGCAUCUAAGCACGAAACUUGCCCCGAGAUGAGUUCUCCCUGACUCCUUGAGAGUCCUGAAGGAACGUUGAAG